GACGAACGCUGGCGGCGUGCUUAACACAUGCAAGUCGAACGGAAAGGCCCUGCUUUUGUGGGGUGCUCGAGUGGCGAACGGGUGAGUAACACGUGAGUAACCUGCCCUUGACUUUGGGAUAACUUCAGGAAACUGGGGCUAAUACCGGAUAGGAGCUCCUGCUGCAUGGUGGGGGUUGGAAAGUUUCGGCGGUUGGGGAUGGACUCGCGGCUUAUCAGCUUGUUGGUGGGGUAGUGGCUUACCAAGGCUUUGACGGGUAGCCGGCCUGAGAGGGUGAACGGCCACAUUGGGACUGAGAUACGGCCCAGACUGCUACGGGAGGCAGCAGUGGGGAAUAUUGCACAGUGGGCGGAAGCCUGAUGCAGCAACGCCGCGUGCGGGAUGACGGCCUUCGGGUUGUAAACCGCUUUCGCCUGUGACGAAGCGUGAGUGACGGUAAUGGGUAAAGAAGCACCGGCUAACUACGUG
rnacentral:rRNA from 1 species